rnacentral:rRNA from 1 species
UACGAAGGGGGGCUAGCGUUGCUCGGAAUCACUGGGCGUAAAGCGCACGUAGGCGGCUUUCUAAGUCAGGGGUGAAAUCCUGGAGCUCAACUCCAGAACUGCCUUUGAUACUGGGGAGCUCGAGUCCGGAAGAGGUGAGUGGAACUCCGAGUGUAGAGGUGAAAUUCGUAGAUAUUCGGAAGAACACCAGUGGCGAAAGCGACGCACUGGACCUCUUCUGACGCUGAGGCGCGAAAGCUAGGGGAGCAAACGGG